GCAUUGGUGGUUCACUGGUAGAAUUCUUGCCUGCCACGUGGGAGACUCGGGUCUGAUUCCUGGCCAAUGCA
rfam:Danio rerio chromosome 4, GRCz11 reference primary assembly.